rnacentral:tRNA from 1 species
AAUUAAACUACUUCUUGA